ensembl:lncRNA
GCUUAGAGCAGGGUGGACAAGGUUAGAGAGUAGAUUUACAGGCAAACAGAAGGCAUCGGGCAUCCCCAAACCAUGCCCACCCCAGGGGCAGAGCCUUGUGGGACCAGCGGAACUUGUUCUCAGUGGGUAACCCAUUGCAAGUUAUUCUUCCCAAACUGACCAAUCAGCAAAGCAUCUGAUUUGCUGGAGUAGACUCCCUGGAGUAGACUGAGUAAAGAGUCAGACAGAGGUCAGAAAUCUGCUUAGAGGAAACCUAUCCCAGUGGAAACCCAGAGUAGGACUAGAAUGUCUGUUGUGAUAGGUCUGGAUUUCAAGCCCAGAAGAACUAAGUGCAGGCUACAAGGAAGAGGUCAAAUUAACAACUAGAAUGUUCCAUCUCCACCGUUAGCCAAUAACACUUUCUUUCAGUGAAGUUGAAAACAUGCUAGAAGCCUGUGCCAUCCAGAAAGACUGCCGCUAGCCACAUGUGGUUACUGAUCCCUGACAUGUGGCUAGUGUGAUAGAGGAACUAAAUGGUUUGAUUUUAUCAUAACUAAUCUAAAUGUAAAUGGCCACACAUGGCUAGGAGCCAUAAGAAAACACAGAGGCAGCCUUGACGCUAGCAAUAAAGACCUUUAGCAGCUCAAUCAGACAGGGUCCUAUGGAACUAAUGAAGCCACUGGACGCUUUACCUAAAUCCCUUGAACUUGAUGUAGCAGAGCUUUUUUGGCCUGGGGUAUGGAAUAAGCUUUGAAGUCUUUCAGGCCUCAGCCACACUAACCAGCUGUGUGAUUACAGGCAGGCUGCUUUAUCCUUGACUCAAUUUCCUCCCCUAUGAAAAGAGAAUCAUAAGGCUGUUGUGAGUAGGAAAUGAGAGGACAUCUGAAAGGUACCUGGUUCUCAGGGGGUCAUUUCACUAAUAUGUCUUCUGAUAGCAGCCACCAGCCUCAACUCUCUCCUAUGCCUCCUGUUUCUCUUUAGCAAGACCCCAGCACAUCAGCUCUGUUCUUCGGCCACAGCCUGCCAUCCCACUGUGGAAGGGUGAAAUAUGCAAGGUUCUGCACUGCGGACACUCGCAUUUACUGAUCUCAGAGAAUCAGGUCGUGGGUGACCCAAGAGUAUAAGAUGGAGGGCAAUGCGGUUACUUUGGCAGGGGUGGGGGUGGGGUUAUUCUAUUAUCUCACAAACAUGGCAUUUCCUUCCAACACCAUCCCAAUGACUUGAACAACAAAAUUGCCUAAUAGAAAUCAGCAGCCUCACUGCAUCAGUGGAAGUGAGAUUCUCACCUAUUUUUGCUGCCAGCUCUUCAGAGUAAAAGUCUAAGAUGAGAGGAUGAAAUUUGAAGUUGAGGGCCCUUAUCUGGGAAUUACGUAAUUCCCGCAGGGCCAGCAGCCAGAAGCCAAUUUUGGCAACUGACCAGGGCUUACUAGAAGCCUGUCCCGCCCGCCUCUGUUUGUGUGGCUGUUUGGCGCAUUGCUUUUGUUUUGGUUUGGGAUGUUGUGAGUGACAUUUGGAGCCUGAGUGUUCUCAGGAGGGGCCUCGAAGUUCAGGAGUUCAAAUUUUAAUCCAGCUCUGCUCUGGGUCCUGCUGAUGAAUUUACGUUUUAAUUUUUCAUCCGCGGCUCGGCACCAGACAUCACACAAAUAAAUGAAUGCAUAAAUAAAAUUCAUGAAGUCGGGCUGGGGAUUUGAAGCUGAGAGGUCUUGCUGCGUUUCAGGGACGAGUUUGAACAUCAGAGCCUCCUCGUCCUGUUAUUAAUAACUAUGCAGAACCCUGUAACGAAGGGACAAAGUAGGUCAGUCCCAGCUGCAGCAAAACAGAACAGCGGAGGAAUUAUCAAAGAAAUUAAAAAGCCUGCAUGGCCACCGCAAAGCACACUUUUAUAGGCUUUCUUCUGGUGAUAAUCCUGUGAGUCAAACUCAUGGCAGUGGAUUGACUUUUCACCCUUUUCAAAAAAGCAGCAAUUCACCAGCAUUCAAGGUUUGUGUGGAAAAGGGCGGCGAGCAUGUGAAAAUUAAAAGCAUAGAAACCUAGAGAAGCUUCCACCCCAGUCUAAUGUUAUUCUUACAUCACUUUUUGCUCUUUCUCGGGGUUCUGUCUUCCUGUAUAAAAUAAUAAAAUAAUUUCAGUUUUCUCUCAACUCCAA